AUUGAACGCUGGCGGAAUGCUUUACACAUGCAAGUCGAACGGCAGCACGGGGCAACCUGGUGGCGAGUGGCGAACGGGUGAGUAAUACAUCGGAACGUGCCCAAUCGUGGGGGAUAACGUAGCGAAAGUUACGCUAAUACCGCAUACGAUCUACGGAUGAAAGCGGGGGAUCGCAAGACCUCGCGCGAGUGGAGCGGCCGAUGUCAGAUUAGGUAGUUGGUGGGGUAAAGGCUCACCAAGCCAACGAUCUGUAGCUGGUCUGAGAGGACGACCAGCCACACUGGAACUGAGACACGGUCCAGACUCCUACGGGAGGCAGCAGUGGGGAAUUUUGGACAAUGGGCGCAAGCCUGAUCCAGCCAUUCCGCGUGCAGGAUGAAGGCCUU
rnacentral:rRNA from 1 species